UGGGGAAUAUUGGACAAUGGGCGAAAGCCUGAUCCAGCCAUGCCGCGUGAGUGAUGAAGGCCUUAGGGUUGUAAAGCUCCUUCAGUGGGGAAGAUAAUGACGGUACCCACAGAAGAAGCCCCGGCUAACUCCGUGCCAGCAGCCGCGGUAAUACGGAGGGGGCUAGCGUUGUUCGGAAUUACUGGGCGUAAAGCGCACGUAGGCGGCUUUGUAAGUUAGAGGUGAAAGCCCGGGGCUCAACUCCGGAAUUGCCUUUAAGACUGCAUCGCUAGAACGUCGGAGAGGUAAGUGGAAUUCCGAGUGUAGAGGUGAAAUUCGUAGAUAUUCGGAAGAACACCAGUGGCGAAGGCGACUUACUGGACGACUGUUGACGCUGAGGUGCGAAAGCGUGGGGAGCAAAC
rnacentral:rRNA from 1 species